GUGGUUUGGCUCUGGUCAGACUGCAGGUCAUAUCUGCUGCGGCAUACAUGCCUGUUUGCACAAGCUGCUUGUUCUCUGGUACUCUCUCUUACAUAACCCUCGAGAGAAGGCCAAGCAUCCAUCAAAGGGGUGGAAUGAGAGAAGAUAAAGAAAGGGAGAGAGAAAUGUGGGAAGGUACUUGUCACAGAUCUUAGUGUCCUGGUGGACAGUGUUGUGUGAUGGAGGACUCUGACCUGACGCCGACACUCCUGACCUCAAAGUGUGCAGUCUGAGGGCAGUCUGUGAAACCCCAGUGCAUGUUUGCAUUCCUGAAACGGUCUGUAGCAGACGGUGAAGGCUGGAUGAAGAAUGGGAAUGUUGCUUUAAGGUUUGUGGGUUCGGAGGUUAUCGCACAAGCUGCCUACACAGGCUCUCCAACAGUCCAUAUUGAGGUGAUACCCAUACCGCUUGAGAUUCAGUAGCAUAAGCCAAAAGACACUGUAUGUUAUAAAGAUUUUACCACAAUAAGAGGUGUCUUUAAGGCCCAGUAUACUGAUGGUGAAGCUCUUUUUUGAUCUUUGCUUAGAGGUGAAAAGAAUUGUGAAGUAUCUGAGCAGGAGUAUACUGUUAACGAACAUCAUGGUGCCACCCACACCACUGAGAGUGCCGU
ensembl:lncRNA